GUGGUGACCUCACUGUGGCUUUCCUCUACUGGCUUGGGUUUAUGUUAAGUAGAAGGGAGGGAGAGCUGGGGCUGCAGUUCUGUGUCUGUGCCUUCAAGACUGCCUGGUCACGUACUUCAUUAUUUCAGAACCCCGCUCCCCUCCAGGCUUCUCCCUCGACAACUGUGGCCUGGAACUAUGGCUCUGAUGUUUGUGUCUCUUUGUCACUGUCAUUACCCUGGGAUAAGUCUGCAGAAAUAAAGACUUCUUGCAGAAUGGCAUGAAUUAUUUCUCACCAGAGAGAUCUGAAUGCUAAUGUCACUCUUAAGAAGACUUAAGACCUUAGGGGAGACAUAAGAAGGAACUUCACCACUACAGGAGAACCCCUGGUGCUUUAGCCAGGCAUUGCCAAUGGCUGGAAGGUUCCAUGGAUAGGUUCCCUGAUGUCCCCACCCUCAUUAUAUCUGGAAUGAAUAAAGAGGGGAAGGACAAAGAGACAUCCACGGGCAUCAAAGGCAUCUCCAAGGGACAAAAGAAAGAGAAGAGCCAGCUGUUUAUUUCUGGAUUCCCGAGUUGUUUGUUAUCAGCUUCUCUCAGGUACGACAUACCCUUCACAGCCUCACCGACAAUUACCAAGGAAGCAUUCAGCUAAUUUCCUCAA
rnacentral:lncRNA from 1 species